rnacentral:lncRNA from 1 species
CAAAAGCUGCUUGAUGUAAUUCUUCUAAUUGAAAUAGAAAGGAAGCAUUGCUUCCUGAUUUAUGCUUACUUGGACUAUGAAAUGGCUAUAGUUGAAUAGGAGAUAGUAUACAGCUUUCUAUAUAGGUUAAUUUAUGUAUUUGGAUUUGUGUAUGUUAGAUAGAUGACUAUAUGGGUCUGCUUAUGUAAUUCAUGCUAUUUCUUUUGGUUUGUAUAUGGACUAUAUAAAUACUGUGAACUUACUCUCGUUUCGUUAUAAUUUGUAAGGGUGUAGCUGUCUGGUGUAGUGCUAGGGUAAGUUAAGUCUAUUUAAGGGAUUGAAAUCUGCCAAUCAUCGAUAGAAGAUUAGGAGUUUGGUGUUUGUUUCACUUCAGUAGCAUUGAAACUUGGAGUCAAGUUUAUUUAUGAAAGUUCAUAUAUAUGUUCUGAU